AUCACCGCUCCGUAUUUUAAACUGCUAACUACACACCUAUACUUCAGGAACUAUUACUACUAUGUGGAUGUAAGCAAAGUGUUCUCAUUCCCUCUUGGAUGUGUGCAGCCAGUGAGGUACGUUUUGUUUAAGGGCUUGUUAUAUCUGCUCGACGGCACGGACAGCUAACUGGGAUAGCGAGUGGAGCUAGCGGCUGCCGGAUGGAGCAGCCAGUCAGCCAGCUUGCUAACUACACACCGGUGCUUACGUCCACAUGUACUCAACGAAGUGGAAACGCCUUUGACGAUGGCCCGUGCAAAGUCAUGCCACCAGUCUGAGGACAUCACUGGGAAUGGCACAUGGGACACGUGGCUUUCAACUCCAGCGAGACCCAAGUCGACUGGACCACAGCGGAAAAUGAUCCUUCCAGAGAAGAAGUUAUUUACUUCUACAACGAAUGGAAGAGUUACAACUUCCAGAUGACAGCUCUCCGCUCAUCCUUCUGGGCAACUUGAACAUCCGACAGAACUUAUGUGACCUACUGCGUUUAUUUUCUCCUUUAGCUCUCAUUUAAGUAUUAAAAUUCGCUGUAUUUUUGCAAGAGAGGCACCAAUCCUAUUUGAGUGACGUUUCGAAUGUGAAAUUGUAUUGGACCAUAUAGGUCAUCUGCAGAGCGUUGGCCCCUGGCGCAGUAAACCAGGGUUUGAUUCUUGGCAUGCACAAGACUCCUCAUGUGACUUAAAAUGAAUCCAGAAUGCAAUAUUUGUUCAGUAUGCAAGGGCAGUGAUUUAUUUAGUCAUGUUUGGUCAUGUUUUGGUUUUUUUACAUGACAAUAUGGUUUGGUACAUGCUGAGUUAAUGAAUAUACAUUCUAAAGUGCAAUGUCCAUAUGUGAAUAAGAGUUGUAUACGUUUAUCAUAGUCAACAUGGUGUGGAAAUAUCCCUUAUGUAGUUGGUCAAUAGGAACUAUAGUAGGCAGUAAUAACAGCUAAGGUAAUUACAGGUGGAUAUUUCUGGGAAUUAACCUUGAUUGAGACUGCAUCUAUGAUAUCUAAGAUAUACAGGACAAGAAUAAUGCACUGGAUGUGUAUAUGUGUUGAAUCAAUUAUACAGACGCAAACUGGAGAACGAGACAAGUGUUGCUGUGAUACUUAUUGUGGUCAUCGUGCCCGAGACCCGUAACAAUUACUCCGCAGGUCUUUUGCAGCGGGGCAACAGCCCGGCGUCGGUGGAUUCCGUUCGCGAGGCCGCAGAUUCAGGUUUGAAUGGCAGCCCCGAGAGUGAUUCGUUUAGUCUCUUUGGUCUUUUUUGACCCGCGAGCCCGGCCGACCGCCGCCCCACCCCGACGCGCGAGAAUCGGCGAAGGCCCGUUCAUCGCUGCUUGCAGCUUUAAUAAUAAU